AAGACUAUAGACCUGCGGAGUACCUGCGGAAGGAUCAUUACCGAGUUAUACAACUCCCAAACCCACUGUGAACCUUACCUCAGUUGCCUCGGCGGGAACGCCCCGGCCGCCUGCCCCCGCGCCGGCGCCGGACCCAGGCGCCCGCCGCAGGGACCCCAAACUCUCUUGCAUUACGCCCAGCGGGCGGAAUUUCUUCUCUGAGUUGCACAAGCAAAAACAAAUGAAUCAAAACUUUCAACA
rnacentral:misc_RNA from 1 species